UACGGGGGGGGGCAAGCGUUGUUCGGAAUUACUGGGCGUAAAGGGCUCGUAGGCGGCCAACUAAGUCAUACGUGAAAUCCCCCGGCUUAACCGGGGAACUGCGUCUGAUACUGGGUAUCUUGAGUAUGGAAGAGGUAAGUGGAAUUGCGAGUGUAGAGGUGAAAAUUCGUAGAUAUUCGCAGGAACACCAGUGGCGAAGGCGGCUUACUGGUCCAUUACUGACGCUGAGGUGCGAAAAGCGUGGGGAGCAAACAGG
rnacentral:rRNA from 1 species